rnacentral:rRNA from 1 species
UUUAAAGAGAGUUUGAUCCUGGCUCAGGACGAACGCUGGCGGCGUGCCUAAUACAUGCAAGUCGAACGAACGGAGGAAGAGCUUGCUCUUCCAAUGUUAGUGGCGGACGGGUGAGUAACACGUGGGCAACCUGCCUGUAAGUUGGGGAUAACUCCGGGAAACCGGGGCUAAUACCGAAUGAUAGAAUGUGGCGCAUGCCACGCUUUUGAAAGAUGGUUUCGGCUAUCGCUUACAGAUGGGCCCGCGGUGCAUUAGCUAGUUGGUAGGGUAAUGGCCUACCAAGGCAACGAUGCAUAGCCGACCUGAGAGGGUG